UACGUAGGUGGCAAGCGUUGUCCGGAUUUACUGGGCGUAAAGAGCGCGCAGGCGGUUGUUUAAGUCGAAUGUGAAAGCCCCCGGCUCAACUGGGGAGGGUCAUUCGAUACUGAUCGACUUGAAGGCAGGAGAGGGAAGUGGAAUUCCGGGUGUAGCGGUGAAAUGCGCAGAUAUCAGGAGGAACACCAAUUGCGAAGGCAGCUCGCUGGGACGUAACUGACGCUGAGACGCGAAAGCGUGGGGAGCAAACAGG
rnacentral:rRNA from 1 species